rnacentral:rRNA from 2 species
UGUGAACGCUGGCGGCGUGCCUAAUACAUGCAGUCGAGCGAACUGAUUAGAAGCUUGCUUCUAUGACGUUAGCGGCGGACGGGUGAGUAACACGUGGGCAACCUGCCUGUAAGACUGGGAUAACUUCGGGAAACCGAAGCUAAUACCGGAUAGGAUCUUCUCCUUCAUGGGAGAUGAUUGAAAGAUGGUUUCGGCUAUCACUUACAGAUGGGCCCGCGGUGCAUUAGCUAGUUGGUGAGGUAACGGCUCACCAAGGCAACGAUGCAUAGCCGACCUGAGAGGGUGAUCGGCCACACUGGGACUGAGACACGGCCCAGACUCCUACGGGAGGCAGCAGUAGGGAAUCUUCCGCAAUGGACGAAAGUCUGACGGAGCAACGCCGCGUGAGUGAUGAAGGCUUUCGGGUCGUAAAACUCUGUUGUUAGGGAAGAACAAGUAUAAGAGUAACUGCUUGUACCUUGACGGUACCUAACCAGAAAGCCACGGCUAACUACGUGCCAGCAGCCGGGAAAAAUA